rnacentral:rRNA from 1 species
GAUGAACGCUGGCGGCGUGCCUAAUACAUGCAAGUCGAGCGAACAGACGAGGAGCUUGCUCCUCUGACGUUAGCGGCGGACGGGUGAGUAACACGUGGAUAACCUACCUAUAAGACUGGGAUAACUUCGGGAAACCGGAGCUAAUACCGGAUAAUAUAUUGAACCGCAUGGUUCAAUAGUUAAAUACGUUUUUUCUGUCACUUAUAGAUGGAUCCGCGCCGCAUUAGCUAGUUGGUAAGGUAACGGCUUACCAAGGCGACGAUGCGUAGCCGACCUGAGAGGGUGAUCGGCCACACGGGAAAUGAGACACGGUACAGACUACUACGGGAGGCAGCAGUAGGGAAUAUUCCGCAAUGGGCGAAAGCAUGACGGAGCAACGCCGCGUGAGAGAAGAAGGUCAUCGGAUCGUAAAACUCUGUUAUUAGGGAAGAACAAAUGUGUAAGUAACUAUGCACGUCUUGACGGUACCUAAUCAGAAAGCAACGGCUAACUACGUG